rnacentral:tRNA from 1 species
GAAGGUAUAGUUCAAGUGGUAGAGUGCAUACUUAGCAUGCAUGAGGUCCUGGGUUCAAUCCCCAGUACCUCCU